AGAGGGGUGGCUGGUAUGGUAUGUCAGGGCUUUGUAUGACACUAGAAGUAAAGAAAGUAAAAGAAGCAAGGAAAAAAAGAUAUUUAAGACAUGGCCAGGAAAAGAGGCAGAACCUAAGACAAAGAAAUGACAACUGAAAAUAGAUAAAAGAAUCUGUUAAUGCCGAUUAGUGGAAAUUAUCACUUAUUUCGAGCUUAUUGUUCCUUUUUUAGAAAAGAUUCUUUGGUUUGAUGACACCAUUUUGCUGUUCCUCUUUGCUAUUCUCUUCCCCAUAAUUUUUUUUCCCAAAAUUGUUUUUCAAUCAACUUAAAAAAAAUCUUCCAGUAUAGAUUACAAUCACAAAACAUUUCAGAGGCACUUUAAACAUCCUUUUGCAGCAUGCGGUAGCAGAAGGGGAGGUUCCUUGGUCCCGUCGCCUACAUACUGCUCUUCCUGAAUGGACCCGAGAGGGAGCUGUGUGUGUGAUGCUGUUUCCGAACGAUCAGAGUCCAACUCGUCCAGCUUGGCAACUUCUCACCGAGCACAGAGAACAUCGGCCAUCGGGCGCUGGACCACCUGACACAGACAGAUGUUUUCUUUCAAGUUAUAAUUCAAUUUGAAUUUGCAUUGAUACACAAAUUGUGUGGUUUAAUGUGGUUUGGACGGCCAUGUUGGAAGGUGAAAUGAUGAGCAUAGUCACUUCCAUGAAAGGCAGAUAUUUGAAUGGGUUUCCAGUGAGAUUUUCAAGUGCAUCAACAUUUUAUUGGUCAUCAAUGGCAAUUAACUGUAGUGUGUUAAUGGACCCUUGUGAAUUCUUUAGUAAAUGACCUUUCAGUGAUUUUAGUAAAUCAUGUUAGUGUUAUCCCAUGUUUUAAAACCAUAGCCAGGUGAUUUGUGAUGGUUUUUUUUAACUGGCUAGCCACUUGGAUGGAUUUAAACUUGAA